rnacentral:rRNA from 1 species
UACGUAGGGGGCAAGCGUUGUCCGGAUUUAUUGGGCGUAAAGAGCUCGUAGGCGGUUUGAUAAGUCGGGUGUGAAACCUCCAGGCUCAACCUGGAGCCGCCACUCGAUACUGUCAUGACUUGAGUCUGGUAGGGGACCACGGAAUUCCAGGUGUAGCGGUGAAAUGCGUAGAUAUCUGGAGGAAUACCGGUGGCGAAGGCGGCAUCCUGGACCGAGAUUGACACUGAGGAGCGAAAGCCAGGGGAGCAAACGGG